UACGGGGGGAGCAAGCGUUGUUCGGAAUUACUGGGCGUAAAGGGCGCGUAGGCGGCCUGCUAAGUCGGACGUGAAAUCCCUCGGCUCAACCGGGGAACUGCGUCCGAUACUGGCGAGCUUGAAUCCGGGAGAGGGAUGCGGAAUUCCAGGUGUAGCGGUGAAAUGCGUAGAUAUCUGGAGGAACACCGGUGGCGAAGGCGGCAUCCUGGACCGGCAUUGACGCUGAGGCGCGAAAGCUAGGGGAGCAAACGGGG
rnacentral:rRNA from 1 species